rnacentral:misc_RNA from 1 species
AAGUCGUAACAAGGUUUCCGUAGGUGAACCUGCGGAAGGAUCAUUAAUGAUUCAAAAGGAUGUGCUGGCAACUUACAUUUGCAUGUGCACUCCGACUCUCACCCACCUGUGCACAUCUUGUAGACACGGAUAGUAAUUCUAUCUUUUGUCUAUGAUUUUUAUACACCCUGUUAAAGUAAAUUGAAUGAUUUAUAAAUUAAUACAACUUUCAACAAUGGAUCUCUUGGUUCUC